CAUGGCCCUGAACUUGAGAUUCUCCUGCUGCACAGCUUCUGGAGUGCUGGGAUUAUAGGUCUAUGUGUGCACUACACCUGGCUUAACAGUAGAUUCCUAGUUUCUAUUGCUAGGUCAGUAAAAAUUCUGGACCCUGAAUAGCAGCAAGCAGGGACUUUUGAUUCCAGUGUUGGCCUGUUUACUGUUUAGCCCCAAGCUUAGAGCUGAGGUGUGACAGAUCUUUCCCAUGAUGUAAGAGAAAGUGGGGAAGGUGCUAGAGCCUCGGGGUGCCGAGGCAAGCCUGGCAAAGGAGCUUCCACAGUGCUCUGUCUCAGUCUUCAGACUGCCUGUGUGCAGCUGUCCUCUGAGCUCCGUGUCCUGGGGGAGCCGCUUUGCUGCACCUCACAGUUCUUUGCCCACAGCUCUAGGCCAGUGAUGUCUGUGACCAGCUGUGAACCACCCAAGGCUCGGGGACAGAGUGCACCCAACUCGACAAGCUGCCCAGCCUGUCCCUGUUGCUGGGAGCAUGACGGGUCCUACCUUUUCCUCACGUGACACCCCUGUGCCUGCACCCGAGUCUGUCUCUUUGGGUUGCAUUUCCAGGACCGUGCGGAACAGCUUCUCGGAGGUGACAGUAAGGAAGCCAAUCUCUGCGUUGGGGUGCAGGCCGUACAGCAUCUCCACACGGAUGUACUCUGCCAGGUAGGUCCUGCACAGCCGGCGGUCCCAGUCAUCCGUGAUGUGUCCUCCAUACAUGAUUUCACCGAAAAGGUAGCGGAGAUCAUCCCAGGGUACCUUAGAAGGGGGAGGGGAAUGUGAGGAGCGCCCCACCCCCACCCUCUGCCACUCAUACCAGUGAGGCUAGAAAGCUCAGCAGGGUCUGCUCCCAGGUUGCUUUCCUUCAGGCUAGCCCCUCUGAGACUCUGCUUUGGCUAUGGUUUUAGGCUGACUCCAGCCUCAUUUCCUCCAUAGGGACAUCUUGGCUCCUGCUGGUGCCCCAGGGGUCACAGGCCACCCGCUCCUUCCUGGUUCCCUGGGCUCUGUCAGCCUCAACAUCAGUCUGCAUUCUAUGUAACAUCUGGAUUCUGCUCUUGAGAGUCGGUGCUGGCCCCCGCAUCUUCCAUUGGCUAAAAGUCCAGUCAAUUGCAUGUCUGAUGUGGACCAGUGGGUCUCCUGGCCCAUGGGAACCUCUGUGGCCUCUGCCCAGUGGCUGUCUCUUGUGGAGCUGUGCAGGUCUCUGUGGGAGCUGGGUGCUCGCUCACAAGUCUAGCCAGAACCUUGGCUCCGUGGGCUUCUGGAGAAGAUGUAUGCACUCAUAGCCUGGCACUGGCUGUCCCAUUGGGUGAGGUGGGCUUUCCAUCCUGUCUUGUUUCCCUUCAGCCUACCUUCUGCCCAGCUCCACGUCCCCCGCCCUAGAAUCACUGGCCAAGAUACGCAUGGUCUUUCAGAGCCUGGGUGACCCUUUAUCCACAAAGCCUGGAGCUUCGUUCGGCAUGUAGCCUGUUCCUGCUGCCCACAGCAGCCUGAGGAAGGGCAGGGAGCCGCGUCUGCAUAUUUUCAUUUCCUGGCAGCCACUUGACGCAAAGUUGGUGGCUCUCUGACCUGUGACAGGCCAGCCGUGUUCCGGAGGCACUCUUUCUGGGUGGCUGAGCCUGUGGACGGUACCUCUGCACCCCGGCUCUCGGAGCUGCUGUAGGACUGUGCCACUCAUGUCUGCACAGCCAGCUGCAGCUUGUACACAGAUGCCCUUUCUCCAGGGACGGUGGCUGGCACUUCUGUAACUACCACAGUGCCCUGCCUGAGAGCUUUUGGUGGAAUUCUGGUGAAAUUGGUUGAUUAACCAUUUGUCUUACUUAGCCUUGUGAACUCUCAUUCAAAAUACAAGGGUGCUCUGAAUUCUCA